rnacentral:rRNA from 1 species
CCUACGGGCGGCAGCAGUGGGGAAUAUUGGACAAUGGGCGAAAGCCUGAUCCAGCCAUGCCGCGUGUGUGAAGAAGGCCUUCGGGUUGUAAAGCACUUUCAGUGGGGAAGAAAGCCUUGGGGCUAAUACCCUCGAGGAAGGACAUCACCCACAGAAGAAGCACCGGCUAACUCUGUGCCAGCAGCCGCGGUAAUACGGAGGGUGCGAGCGUUAAUCGGAAUUACUGGGCGUAAAGCGCGCGUAGGCGGUCUGAUAAGCCGGUUGUGAAAGCCCCGGGCUCAACCUGGGAACGGCAUCCGGAACUGUCAGGCUAGAGUGCAGGAGAGGAAGGUAGAAUUCCCGGUGUAGCGGUGAAAUGCGUAGAGAUCGGGAGGAAUACCAGUGGCGAAGGCGGCCUUCUGGACUGACACUGACGCUGAGGUGCGAAAGCGUGGGUAGCAAACAGGAUUAGAUACCCGGGUAGUC